AUGGUGAAGACAAUCUGCUUCCUCGGUGCUUUAAAAGCUUAAUCUAAAAUUUUUACGCUUAUACAGUAUGUGAGAUUUAUAAUGUUAGAGUUUCAUGCUAAUAUUACUACAUUAAACCCCUUGAUAAAUGGAAAUAGAUUACUUGUUAUUUUAGCAAAUUAAUGAUUGAGUAGAUUAUGUAGAGAUAUUUCAGUCCAAAUACUUAAUCUCAAAGCAGCCCAGUGUCAGGAUGACAAAGGUUCAAAAAAUGUUUUAAAACACAUUUCACCGCAUCAUGCAGACGAACUACACCACAUACCAACACAAACAACCUCAUUUCAAAGCCACAGGUCUGUACUACACACAUGGAAAAAAAUACAUUAAAUUGCUAGCUGGAUUAAAAUUUGAAAAGUUUCUAACUGAAGGUAAGUUUGAAUUUAAUUAAACAUUAGCUAAUGUUUCUUCUGAUUUGAAAAAUUCAUUUUGUUGACAUUUAUUAUCAAAUUUCUCCUUUGAUGAGACAGAUACUAAUGGGGAAGAAGAUAUUUUUCAAGAGUUGAUUCAGAGCAACCCACAGAUAUGCUUCACAGUAAGGUGUCCUCCACAAGGACUUUGGACGUUUCUGAUGUAUAAUUUCAUUCAGAAAUGUUCAAAUGUCUUCAUAAAAUAUUUGAAAAUUAAUCAAUAUUGAUCUUCUUUUUUUGAAAAAACAAUUUUCACCCCCUGCUACCUUAACACCAAGUACAUGCACUGAUGCGCUUUAAAACUCCGGUGAUGUAGAAGGGUUGGAGAGAACACAGCUGGACCUGUCUGCAAGCUCAAACUCGAGUAAUGCCUGAGAAGUUGGGAGGUUUGGUAAUUCAAGACUUUAUUGUGCUGUUCAAUACUGAAACAUCUGCAUGAUUGCUUGGGCAGUAGGAGACAGCAUUUAAGCAGAAAGUCAUCAAAGAAGCAAAGUCUCUCACUUUGACAGCAGAAGGUCAAAGUUAUAUCAGUGCAACAGAGAAACAACAGUCUGAAAAUGGGAGGAACGAGGCUACAAUCAGUCGAACUGAUGCUGUUGACAGGCUUGUACGUUUACAUAAGUCCUGUAUCAGCAUUUAAGAACAUUUCAGCAGGAGAGAAGGUCACCAACCAUACUUACUUGCAGUAGGACAAACCAAGAAGAGGAUCGACAAUUUUUAUGUGGUUGUGGACAAGCAGCUCAUCCCUUGUGCAGGAACCACCUCCCUGAGUGCCAUUGAUGAACUUUCAAAAUUCAUUAUGUUUUUAACGUCUCCUAUGAAGAAUCUCUGGCAAAUGUAUAGAGCCUUUUAUUUAAUGAUAUCCUUUUUAAAUGAUCCCCACUAGCACUUAUUUAUUUUUUACACAAUUGCCAUGCAUGUUGAUGAGCUCAGUGUUACAGAGUAGUGUUUGCACAAAAGGAUUAAUAGCAGCCGUAAUCUAUAUGUAAAUGUACAAAUAUGUAAAUUAACCCUUGUAUACUCUAUAAAUUGCCAUUGAGACUGAGCUUUUUUAU